AGACCAGAGUCGAAUAGGUGAAUAUACAGCUUUUCCUUAUUCAGAUUUCAUCAGAACAGUCUACCGAUUUCAAAGAAGAUGAUAUAACGUGAUUUUGUAAACUUUCCUUCAGCAUCCCCUAGAAACCAGAUAAGACGCCUAAGCGAUCGCAACUGAGAUACAUAAAUGAAUGCGUAUACUCAGGAGUUGGGAACUGCUGCUGUUGCUGCUGCUGCUGUUGCUACUCGACGUCGUUCGUUCAUUCAUCGAUGCAUUCUACGGCCUUUGAAGGUUAUUGCGUCAGAGACCAGUCGACACGCAUGUGAUCAUUUUACCUAUACAUAUAUAUACAUAUACCUAUGUCCACCAUACCACGUGUCAAUGAAAUGUCCGUGUUAAGUCCUGAAAGAAUAAUAUGGUCCAUGUUUUAUUACAUAGAUGCUCCUCGAAGCUCUUCUAAUGUGCAUUUUAUUUGUCAACUUUCAAAAUGCGCACAGUCCUGGACAUGAUAAAACAGUUUUUGUUCUAGCUUUUAUUAACUAGUAAUCGUCGCAUUUAGAGGUAGUCUGGCUUUGGCAUUCAUCUUUCGAAAUGCUCUUUGAAUCCCUGUGUAUUUUGAGUUGGGCUUUUUAAUUCUUUCAGUCGGUCAGUUUUCCUUUAUUUCAAUUGGAUGUCACGAAGAGUGAUGAAAAACGCUAAAAAUUAAACCAAUGAAAUAUGAAUAUAUGUUGAUCAUAACAAUGGAUCCAAUUAAACCUAUGUAGAAACUGAGUUUCUAAACUUUUUACCACCCUCAAUUUUUUCAAUUAAACUUGAAACGAAAUAUUUUCUUAUAAUUAAAUGUAUCUAUCAUUAAUUGUAGUUGAAUGAUUCAUCCAGCAGAAUUUUGAGUUUGUACCUCUAAAAUAGCUUCUGACAAACUUCGGAUUGGAUACAGGAAAAUCCGAGUUAACGAAUCUGAGAGCUGAGACUCUUUAAAUUUUAAAUCGCGGUCUGUACCGUGUUGCUCUGCGACCACU
rnacentral:lncRNA from 1 species